rnacentral:rRNA from 1 species
CGAACGCUGGCGGCAGGCCUAAUACAUGCAAGUCGAACGGCUCUUCGGAGCAGUGGCGGACGGGUGAGUAACGCGUGGGAAUGUGCCCUUAGGUACGGAACAACACAGGGAAACUUGUGCUAAUACCGUAUGUGCCCUUCGGGGGAAAGAUUUAUCGCCCUUGGAGCAGCCCGCGUUGGAUUAGGUAGUUGGUGAGGUAAAGGCUCACCAAGCCGACGAUCCAUAGCUGGUCUGAGAGGAUGACCAGCCACACUGGGACUGAGACACGGCCCAGACUCCUACGGGAGGCAGCAGUAGGGAAUCUUGCGCAAUGGGCGAAAGCCUGACGCAGCCAUGCCGCGUGUAUGAUGAAGGUCUUAGGAUUGUAAAAUACUUUCACCGGGGAAGAUAAUGACGGUACCCGGAGACGGAGCCCCGGCUAACUUCGUGCCAGCCGCCGCCGUAA